rnacentral:rRNA from 1 species
AUUGAACGCUGGCGGCAGGCUUAACACAUGCAAGUCGAGCGGAGAGAGGUAGCUUGCUACUGAUCUUAGCGGCGGACGGGUGAGUAAUGCUUAGGAAUCUGCCUAUUAGUGGGGGACAACAUUUCGAAAGGAAUGCUAAUACCGCAUACGUCCUACGGGAGAAAGCAGGGGAUCUUCGGACCUUGCGCUAAUAGAUGAGCAUAAGUCGGAUUAGCUAGUUGGGGGGGUAAAGGCCUACCAAGGCGACGAUCUGUAGCGGGUCUGAGAGGAUGAUCCGCCACACUGGGACUGAGACACGGCCCAGACUCCUACGGGAGGCAGCAGUGGGGAAUAUUGGACAAUGGGCGCAAGCCUGAUCCAGCCAUGCCGCGUGUGUGAAGAAGGCCUUAUGGUUGUAAAGCACUUUAAGCGAGGAGGAGGCUACUUUAGUUAAUACCUAGAGAUAGUGGACGUUACUCGCAGAAUAAGCACCGGCUAACUCUGUGCCAGCCGCCGCCGUAAUAC